AACGCUAGCUACAGGCUUAACACAUGCAAGUCGAGGUUCAUCAGGAAGAAAGCUUGCUUUCUUUGCUGGCGACCGGCGCACGGGUGAGUAACACGUAUCCAACCUGCCCUUUACUCGGGGAUAGCCUUUCGAAAGAAAGAUUAAUACCCGAUGGCAUAAUGAUUCCGCAUGGUUUCAUUAUUAAAGGAUUCCGGUAAAGGAUGGGGAUGCGUUCCAUUAGGUUGUUGGUGAGGUAACGGCUCACCAAGCCUUCGAUGGAUAGGGGUUCUGAGAGGAAGGUCCCCCACAUUGGAACUGAGACACGGUCCAAACUCCUACGGGAGGCAGCAGUGAGGAAUAUUGGUCAAUGGGCGCUAGCCUGAACCAGCCAAGUAGCGUGAAGGAUGAAGGCUCUAUGGGUCGUAAACUUCUUUUAUAUAAGAAUAAAGUGCAGUAUGUAUACUGUUUUGUAUGUAUUAUAUGAAUAAGGAUCGGCUAACUCCGUGCCAGCAGCCGCGGUAAUACGGAGGAUCCGAGCGUUAUCCGGAUUUAUUGGGUUUAAAGGGAGCGUAGGUGGACUGGUAAGUCAGUUGUGAAAGUUUGCGGCUCAACCGUAAAAUUGCAGUUGAUACUGUCAGUCUUGAGUACAGUAGAGGUGGGCGGAAUUCGUGGUGUAGCGGUGAAAUGCUUAGAUAUCACGAAGAACUCCGAUUGCGAAGGCAGCUCACUGGACUGCAACUGACACUGAUGCUCGAAAGUGUGGGUAUCAAACAGGAUUAGAUACCCUGGUAGUCCACACAGUAAACGAUGAAUACUCGCUGUUUGCGAUAUACAGUAAGCGGCCAAGCGAAAGCAUUAAGUAUUCCACCUGGGGAGUACGCCGGCAACGGUGAAACUCAAAGGAAUUGACGGGGGCCCGCACAAGCGGAGGAACAUGUGGUUUAAUUCGAUGAUACGCGAGGAACCUUACCCGGGCUUAAAUUGCAGUGGAAUGAUGUGGAAACAUGUCAGUGAGCAAUCACCGCUGUGAAGGUGCUGCAUGGUUGUCGUCAGCUCGUGCCGUGAGGUGUCGGCUUAAGUGCCAUAACGAGCGCAACCCUUAUCUUUAGUUACUAACAGGUUAUGCUGAGGACUCUAGAGAGACUGCCGUCGUAAGAUGUGAGGAAGGUGGGGAUGACGUCAAAUCAGCACGGCCCUUACGUCCGGGGCUACACACGUGUUACAAUGGGGGGUACAGAAGGCAGCUAGCGGGUGACCGUAUGCUAAUCCCAAAAGCCUCUCUCAGUUCGGAUCGAAGUCUGCAACCCGACUUCGUGAAGCUGGAUUCGCUAGUAAUCGCGCAUCAGCCACGGCGCGGUGAAUACGUUCCCGGGCCUUGUACACACCGCCCGUCAAGCCAUGGGAGCCGGGGGUACCUGAAGUACGUAACCGCAAGGAUCGUCCUAGGGUAAAACUGGUG
rnacentral:rRNA from 1 species